rnacentral:rRNA from 1 species
CACCGGCACCUCGAGUGGUAGCCACUAUUAUUGGGCCUAAAGCAUCCGUAGCCGGCUCUGUUAGUUUUCGGUUAAAUCUAUGUGCUCAACGCAUGGGCUGCCGAAAAUACUGCAGAGCUAGGGAGUGGGAGAGGUAGACGGUACUCGGUAGGAAGGGGUAAAAUCCUUUGAUCUAUCGAUGACCACCUGUGGCGAAGGCGGUCUACCAGAACACGUUCGACGGUGAGGGAUGAAAGCUGGGGGAGCAAACCGG